ACACGACUACAUUAGAUACCCGCGUAGUCCCAGCCCUAAACGAUGCGCGUUAGGUGUAUCGGUGACCACGAGUCACCGAGGUGCCGAAGGGAAACCGUGAAACGUGCCGCCUGGGAAGUACGGUCGCAAGGCUGAAACUUAAAGGAAUUGGCGGGGAGCACCACGACGGGUGGAGCCUGCGGUUUAAUUGGACUCAACGCCGGGAAGCUCACCGGGAGCGACAGCAGUAUGAUUGCCAGGUUGAUGACCUUGCUUGACAAGCUG
rnacentral:rRNA from 1 species